AGCUUUGCGCAGUGGCAGUAUCGUAGCCAAUGAGGUUUAUCCGAGGCGCGAUUAUUGCUAAUUGAAAACUUAAAAAAAAAAAAAAAAAAAAGAAAUAUUCCAGAGUACUCUACCUAUCUAUCCAUCCAUCCAUCCAUCUCCAUUUUUAAUAAGGAAAUUGGACUAUAAUUAUUUUAAGUAAUUUGCUCACACAGGCUG
rnacentral:snRNA from 1 species